rnacentral:rRNA from 1 species
AUCUAUGGCCAUGCUACCCUGAACAAGCCCGAUCCCAACUGAUCUUGGAAGCUAAGCAAGGUCGGGCCUGGUUAGUACUUGGAUGGGAGACCGCCUAGGAAGACCAGGUGCUGUAGAUG